rnacentral:rRNA from 1 species
UACGUAGGGCGCAAGCGUUAAUCGGAAUUACUGGGCGUAAAGCGUGCGCAGGCGGUGAUGUAAGACAGUUGUGAAAUCCCCGGGCUCAACCUGGGAACUGCAUCUGUGACUGCAUUGCUGGAGUGCGGCAGAGGGGGAUGGAAUUCCGCGUGUAGCAGUGAAAUGCGUAGAUAUGCGGAGGAACACCGAUGGCGAAGGCAAUCCCCUGGGCCUGCACUGACGCUCAUGCACGAAAGCGUGGGGAGCAAACAGG